UACGAAGGUCCCAAGCGUUAUCCGGAUUUAUUGGGUUAAAGGGUGCGUAGGCGGACUAUUAAGUCAGUGGUGAAAGCCCCAAGCUUAACUUGGGAACUGCCAUUGAUACUGAUGGUCUUGAGUACAUUUGAGGUGGGCGGAAUGUGUCAUGUGAGCGGUGAAAUGCUUAGAUAUGACACAGAACACCGAUUGCGAAGCAGCUCACUAAAC
rnacentral:rRNA from 1 species